rnacentral:rRNA from 1 species
GGUUAAGCGACUAAGCGUACACGGUGGAUGCCCUGGCAGUCAGAGGCGAUGAAGGACGUGCUAAUCUGCGAUAAGCGUCGGUGAGGUGAUAUGAACCGUUAUAACCGGCGAUUUCCGAAUGGGGAAACCCAGUGUGUUUCGACACACUAUCAUUAACUGAAUCCAUAGGUUAAUGAGGCGAACCGGGGGAACUGAAACAUCUAAGUACCCCGAGGAAAAGAAAUCAACCGAGAUUCCCCCAGUAGCGGCGAGCGAACGGGGAGGAGCCCAGAGCCUGAAUCAGUGUGUGUGUUAGUGGAAGCGUCUGGAAAGGCGUGCGAUACAGGGUGACAGCCCCGUACACAAAAAUGCACAUAUUGUGAGCUCGAUGAGUAGGGCGGGACACGUGGUAUCCUGUCUGAAUAUGGGGGGACCAUCCUCCAAGGCUAAAUACUCCUGACUGACCGAUAGUGAACCAGUACCGUGAGGCGUACCUUUUGUAUAAUGGGUCAGCGACUUAUAUUCUGUAGCAAGGUUAACCGUAUAGGGGAGCCGAAGGGAAACCGAGUCUUAACUGGGCGUUAAGUUGCAGGGUAUAGACCCGAAACCCGGUGAUCUAGCCAUGGGCAGGUUGAAGGUUGGGUAACACUAACUGGAGGACCGAACCGACUAAUGUUGAAAAAUUAGCGGAUGACUUGUGGCUGGGGGUGAAAGGCCAAUCAAACCGGGAGAUAGCUGGUUCUCCCCGAAAGCUAUUUAGGUAGCGCCUCGUGAACUCAUCUUCGGGGGUAGAGCACUGUUUCGGCUAGGGGGCCAUCCCGGCUUACCAACCCGAUGCAAACUACGAAUACCGAAGAAUGUUAUCACGGGAGACACACGGCGGGUGCUAACGUCCGUCGUGAAGAGGGAAACAACCCAGACCGCCAGCUAAGGUCCCAAAGUCAUGGUUAAGUGGGAAACGAUGUGGGAAGGCACAGACAGCCAGGAUGUUGGCUUAGAAGCAGCCAUCAUUUAAAGAAAGCGUAAUAGCUCACUGGUCGAGUCGGCCUGCGCGGAAGAUGUAACGGGGCUAAACCAUGCACCGAAGCUGCGGCAGCGACGCGUAUGCGUUGUUGGGUAGGGGAGCGUUCUGUAAGCCGUUGAAGGUGUGCUGUGAGGCAUGCUGGAGGUAUCAGAAGUGCGAAUGCUGACAUAAGUAACGAUAAAGCGGGUGAAAAGCCCGCUCGCCGGAAGACCAAGGGUUCCUGUCCAACGUUAAUCGGGGCAGGGUGAGUCGACCCCUAAGGCGAGGCCGAAAGGCGUAGUCGAUGGGAAACAGGUUAAUAUUCCUGUACUUGGUGUUACUGCGAAGGGGGGACGGAGAAGGCUAUGUU